rnacentral:rRNA from 1 species
GACGAACGCUGGCGGCGUGCUUAACACAUGCAAGUCGAACGGAAAGGCCCUGCUUUUGUGGGGUGCUCGAGUGGCGAACGGGUGAGUAACACGUGAGUAACCUUCCCUUGACUUUGGGAUAACUUCAGGAAACUGGGGCUAAUACCGGAUAGGAGCUCCUGCUGCAUGGUGGGGGUUGGAAAGUUUCGGCGGUUGGGGAUGGACUCGCGGCUUAUCAGCUUGUUGGUGGGGUAGUGGCUUACCAAGGCUUUGACGGGUAGCCGGCCUGAGAGGGUGACCGGCCACAUUGGGACUGAGAUACGGCCCAGACUCCUACGGGAGGCAGCAGUGGGGAAUAUUGCAAAAUGGGCGGAAGCCUGAUGCAGCAACGCCGCGUGCGGGAUGACGGCCUUCGGGUUGUAAACCGCUUUCGCCUGUGACGAAGCGUGAGUGACGGUAAUGGGUAAAGAAGCACCGGCUAACUACGUG